rnacentral:rRNA from 1 species
GUAGUCCACGCCGUAAACUAUGGAUGCUAGCUGUUAGAGGUAUCGACCCCUCUAGUAGCGAAGCUAACGCGUUAAGCAUCCCGCCUGUGGAGUACGGUCGCAAGACUAAAACAUAAAGGAAUUGACGGGGACCCGCACAAGCGGUGGAGCGUGUUGUUUAAUUCGAUGGUAAGCGAAGAACCUUACCCAGGUUUGACAUCCCGAGAAUCUUUCCGAAAGGAAGGAGUGCAUUUUUGAACUCGGUGACAGGUGUUGCAUGGCCGUCGUCAGCUCGUGUCGUGAGAUGUUUGGUUAAGUCCAUCAACGAGCGCAACCCUUGUGAUUAGUUGAAUUUUUCUAAUCAGACUGCCCUGGCAACAGGGA